GAUGGGUCUCAGGUGACGCACCCUGGAAUCGGGCUCCCUCCUCUCUGGUUCCGGAUGCAUCAUCCAAGAACCGCC
rfam:Myotis davidii contig130260, whole genome shotgun sequence.